AGUGAACGCUGGCGGUAGGCUUAACACAUGCAAGUCGAACGGCAGCACAGUAAGAGCUUGCUCUUACGGGUGGCGAGUGGCGUACGGGUGAGGAAUACAUCGGAAUCUACUUUUUCGUGGGGGAUAACGUAGGGAAACUUACGCUAAUACCGCAUACGACCUACGGGUGAAAGCAGGGGAUCUUCGGACCUUGCGCGAUUGAAUGAGCCGAUGUCGGAUUAGCUAGUUGGCGGGGUAAAGGCCCACCAAGGCGACGAUCCGUAGCUGGUCUGAGAGGAUGAUCAGCCACACUGGAACUGAGACAAGGUCCAGACUCCUACGGGAGGCAGCAGUGGGGAAUAUUGGACAAUGGGCGCAAGCCUGAUCCAGCCAUACCGCGUGGGUGAAGAAGGCCUUCGGGUUGUAAAGCCCCUUUGUUGGGAAAGAAAAGCAGCAGGUUAAUACCCCGCUGUUCUGACGGUACCCAAAGAAUAAGCACCGGCUAACUUCGUG
rnacentral:rRNA from 1 species